rnacentral:rRNA from 1 species
CACCGCGGUUAUACGAGAGGCCCAAGUUGACAAACGCCGGCGUAAAGCGUGGUUAAGCUAAAAAUUUUGCUAAAGUUAAACAUCUUCAAGGCUGUUAUACGUAACCGAAGACAGGAAACACAACCACGAAAGUGACUUUACCUAAGCUGAAUCCACGAAAGCUAAGGAA